rnacentral:rRNA from 1 species
GAUGAACGCUGGCGGCGUGCCUAAUACAUGCAAGUCGAGCGAACAGAUAAGGAGCUUGCUCCUCUGAAGUUAGCGGCGGACGGGUGAGUAACACGUGGGUAACCUACCUAUAAGACUGGGAUAACUUCGGGAAACCGGAGCUAAUACCGGAUAACAUUUAGAACCGCAUGGUUCUAAAGUGAAAGAUGGUUUUGCUAUCACUUAUAGAUGGACCCGCGCCGUAUUAGCUAGUUGGUAAGGUAACGGCUUACCAAGGCGACGAUCCGUAGCCGACCUGAGAGGGUGAUCGGCCACACUGGAACUGAGACACGGUCCAGACUCCUACGGGAGGCAGCAGUAGGGAAUCUUCCGCAAUGGGCGAAAGCCUGACGGAGCAACGCCGCGUGAGUGAUGAAGGGUUUCGGCUCGUAAAACUCUGUUAUUAGGGAAGAACAAAUGUGUAAGUAACUGUGCACAUCUUGACGGUACCUAAUCAGAAAGCCACGGCUAACUACGUG